CAGCCGUAAACUAUGCGCGUUAGGUGUACUGGUGACCACGAGUCACCGGGGUGCCGAAGGGAAACCGUGAAACGUGCCGCCUGGGAAGUACGGUCGCAAGGCUGAAACUUAAAGGAAUUGGCGGGGGGAGCACCACAACGGGUGGAGCCUGCGGUUUAAUUGGACUCAACGCCGGGAAGCUCACCGGAUAGGACAGCAGAAUGAUUGCCGGGCUGAAGACCCUGCAUGACUAGCUGAGGGGUGGUGCAUGGCGUCAGUGACU
rnacentral:rRNA from 1 species